UUGGAGUGAAAUCCGCCGAUUAAGGCACGAGGUUCAGCGAACCCGCGCGCGGUUCAGUUUCUCCAGGAACGCGUAUAUGUUAAUGAACCAGCGCGUGCUAGGAAACUUAAACCAGGCGGAAUACGCCUUCUGUACGGCGUGCACAUGCGGUGCGCCGUGUUAUUACAGUGGAUAGCAAAAAAAUCAACGUGGCUUACGGUAUCCGAUCAACGCGAAAUUUCGCUUCGCUACACGAUACGAAUCCCUUUGUCGCGGGGGUUCGCGCGUACAUGUUAAUUAAGCGACGUAAUACGCUUCCGGCAAUCACUUUAGAUCUUUCGCUUCCGUUCAGUCGGUUUUACUUUUUCUUUUUUUUUAAUCAGGUCAACGAUUAAAAAGAUCAAAUCGACCACUUUUGUUAAUACUUAAUAGUUAGUACACUUGUGUACUAAUUUAUCAAAUUAUUGAUAUUGUAUUCGUGUAAUGAAUAUAUGUAACAACAUAGUUGCAGUGAGCGUAAUUUCUGUACGAGAUGCUUGCGAAAUUAAUUCGUGAGAAAUAAUCGGAGAUCGUGAUUAUAAAUUUUGUUGUCCGUUUCAAAAAGGAAUUCCUCGCGCCCCCAAUUGCGCAACAAGAUCUUUAAAGACAUCGUACGCAACGUGCGACGAGGAUACGCACGAUCAGUCGAUGACGUAACGCGAACGGAGGCGUAUAUCGACGUCGAGUCGCCGCUACUUUAUAAGGAGCACCUCCUCACUAACACUAUUCGGCUUUCACUGUGAACAAACCCGUAAUCACCAUUCAAAGCGAAAUCGCGCGUGUGCGUAAGCCACGCGUAAUGGUACCGCAAUUCCGCGGUAGUACAAUCUACAAUCGGUCGAUUGACAAUUUCGCUCUCUCGGCAUCGCGAAUUUGUCACUUUGAAUAGACAGCCAGCAGAUUUUCUCGCGUUUAUCGUUCUCGAUGGGAAAAAUUUACUGCCGUGUUCGUAUCGUCCAUUACUAAACGCCCCUAAAAUGUACUUUCCGUCUUAGGCAUAUCACAGAUUCGAAACGUGAUCGCUGAUAUAAAGUAUGCUUCGUGAUAUUUUAUAAUUCAAAACGCACCGUUUCCGCGACGUAUACCACGCCUCCACCGCGGGGUAAAAAAAAUCCACGCGUUCUCUCCCACGUUAGUAAGGCCGUUAGAUUAAUCUCGGUCACGAGCUAUUAUCGCGCGCGGAGCGAGUGUGCCUCGAUCGUAAUUUGCAUCUGUCAUCGCCUCGAGCGCAGCCGAACCCUUGAAUUUAUCAGGUUCUCCGUUAACUGAAGGUCACUCGUCCAUUUGUCGUUUAAUUGACGAUGAAUUCGUCACGUGAGACAACGUUCGGUUACGGGGAAUGAUCUUUUCUCAGACGAUGAGCGUGACGGCAUAAAAGCGACGAAGUCCAUGCCAUAUGGGUGACAGAUCUUGUGGAAUAUAAAAGUGAAAGAAGAGAAGGUCUCCUUGCAUUCACCACACUUGGACGUUUACGUGCACCAUUGUGCUCUAAAAACCAAAACAAUUUGAGUUUGCUAGCAAAAUUACAAGUCUCCCGAACGAGAGUUUAAGAAAAAGAAAUAUUUUUCCUGAGGACUAGACAAACCGUGGCGUUUCUUCAUGGACUUCAAUGAAAAAGGAAACAUGUGUCAAACGCAGUCACAGGGAACAAUGCGAUUCCGAGGGAAUGACGUUGACGUGCCGCAGCCAUAUGGCCAACAGAACUGACCGCGUGUUGCGUGUAUGCAUCCCAUGAUGUUACCAUCCCGCCGAAAAAGGAAUUGUCAGUGGGCACGAAAAGAAUGUCUCGAGAUGACAAUUUCAUAUCCUGGCGAACGUCGAAUUCGCAACGCGUGUCUGUCUUUCUGUUCCUUGUCUCUUACGGCAUCGCGCACAGAAGCUGCCGUCGACGAAAGUAUUAAAACGGACUGUUUAAUCGGUGGCUACAUCGAAUUUUACACGCCGUGGUGAGUGAUUAAUCCUCUCUUUCUCUCUCUCUCUCUUCUUCUCCCUCGCGUGCCAUCGCGAUAUGACUCUCCGUAUAUUACGUAUGCGUGUGUAGGGCGCCGUUUGCACGCGUGUUACACGCGUGCAGGUAAGAGUAACAGGCCCCGAGGCCUCCGCCGUCUCUCGUCUGCAUAAUGAUAUGGCCAGAGCUUCGGGCACGUGCCUCACGCGAUCCUCAUUACCUUCUGCCUCCUUUUCUCCCUCUCAUCCCUUUCUCUCCUCUCCCUACUGGGAUCCGCAUGUUCGUUCUGCCCUGCCAAUUUUCGGAGGCGAAAAGAGUGACUAAACGACUUUGGGAUUGCACCGAGCGAAUCAAGUAUCUUUAUUGCGAUUGCCAGAAAUAAAAUUGCAGCGUAACCGAGAGUGAUCAUCGAGAUUCGACAGAUUUAUAUUUCCUAAAAAGUCGUGUAUAUUUGUAAUUAUUUAUAUCUCAUGAUUCAAAGUUAAUACGAAUUAAUGCAAAUGAUCAAUUAACGUUCUGAGAAAUGUAUUUUUCUCUUUGUUGGCUACUGUGCGACACUGCUUGAAGAGCGAGUAUUGUCAUACUGUAUCUCUGACGUACGGAUUAAUAAUUAGCUCCAAGGUGUGGUAGGUAUGCCAGUGGGCGUCGAGUGAAACAAGGUGAACGUAAAAGGCGAGUACGAAAAGGCGAUGAACGACGACUGAAAUUACGAGCGAUUCCAUACGCGUCUCAUAUAUCUCGUCACUUGAAUUUUUCGCGAUAGGAGUAACAGCUGCGGAAUGCCUCUAAACAAAUCUUCCGUCUCGCAGACGUGAUUGCAAUGAAUGCUCGCUCAAUGCUCUCGAACGACCCCGGUUUACAAUGUAGAAUUCGGUAGUCGAAAGCAAAAGGUUAACAACGUCCUAUAUAAAUAUUACUCGUGCCUUUUUUUUAUGCACGUUUUCAUUUCGUGUUUUUAUUACAGCGAUGACUUCAUGCGUCCCGUAAUUCAUCCGGAAGGUUGUGACACCGGCGAUCGCUUUAAGACGCCGCUUUAAAUCUCCAUGCGUAAGAAAGAGAGAGAGAGAAAUACACUUUAACGACAGCUUUGCGACUUUCACGGCGUUAAACUGCAUGCGUACAGCAUCACAUUGAAGGAGAUAGGAUGCGACAGCGUCUGGAAUAAAUUAAUUGAGAGAAGUGCAAAAGGAUCCGACACGCAGGUGACACGCAUUCGAUCAGUCUCGACUUUCGUUUUGUCAACCGGAAGCGGCGAGGAAAUUGAAUCCUCGUUUCCUCCUCUCGUCCCGACACGCGUCGUAAGCACCGCUGUCUGUUUUUACGCAGAGAAACGUAACGUUACGCGUAAAGCAACAUUCGUCAAACGAAUUGGCCUGUAACGCGUGUGAGAGAUCCAAAAUCAUCUUUCGAAAAGGAAGAAAUGAUUUUUCGUAAACGUGGAAACCGUAAGUGUAUUUACUAAACAAUCGAGUAGAUGUAUUUGUUUCUCUAAAAUGCAUCAAAAAGAAUUUUAUAGCAUUUAGGUAAUACAUUUCUCUUUCUCUUUCUCUCGUUCUUGCGUGCGUCAUCGUCUUGCAUAGAAUAAUCUACGAAACGAAGUUGGAGCUGCGAAUCGUUGCCGUUAGUCGUACCGUGUGCUUAUCACAUGGAAGCUGCCGAUGAUAAGAAGACUACGCUUCCCGGAAUAUCAGCGAGAAGCAUAUUGCAUGACAGACGCUUUACAAAGAAGAGCUAAUUUCUCUUUCCGACGAAAGCCGCAUUCGCGUGGCAUAUCUCCGCGUCGUUUUAUGACGCGUCAAUUAGCAAUUUCAAUCAUCAGCUCGAGGCACAACAAUGAGAGGCGAGUUUCCGCAAGUUUGUCCUGAUUUUCGAAUGUUGCGAUUAUUGUCGUGCUCGCUUUGUUCUCGCAGACAUCGUGCAGUCAUUCACAUACACUGAUAUCUACGAUGACUUUAAUGUUCGUAGAACUAUAUCUUCAAAGUUUCCUUCGCUAAUUUAUUGAAAGUAAAAUUUUUUAAAUUUUUAUUAAUACUCUGCCUGACAUAAUAUAAGCAGUGUUGCAUGAACAUGACAUCAGUUUAAUAAAAUACCAACCAAACCAGCAG